rnacentral:rRNA from 1 species
UACGGAAGGGGCAAGCGUUGUUCGGAAUCAUUGGGCGUAAAGGGCGCGUAGGUGGUUCUGUAUGUCUACCGUGAAAGCGUACGGCUCAACCGUAUUUUGUCGGUAGAAACUGCAGGACUUGAGGCUAGGAGGGGCUGGUGGAAUUCCCUGUGUAGCGGUGAAAUGCGUAGAGAUGGGGGAGAACACUCGUGGCGAAGGCGGCCAGCUAGACCAGUUCUGACACUGAGGCGCGAUAGCGUGGGGAGCAAACAGG